AGCUGUCUUCGGGGCGGGGCGAAAUUCCCCACCGGCAGUGAUAGUCUGCGAGCGGCUGCGGCCGCAGGAACCGGUGCAAUUCCGGUACCGACAGUAUAGUCUGGAUGAGAGAAGGCGUGU
rfam:Oscillibacter sp. CAG:241 genomic scaffold, scf155